rnacentral:rRNA from 1 species
CCUACCGAUUGAAUAAAGAGGUGAAAUUCUAGGAUUCUGUCUUAUAGAUAGAAAAAUGGAUUUAAAUCUCCUUAUUUAGAGGAAGGAGAAGUCGUAACAAGGUU